rnacentral:tRNA from 1 species
GGGGUUGUGGCUCAGUGGCAGAGCGCUUGCCUAGCAUGUGUGAGGCACUGGGUUCAAUUCUCAGAACCUCA